AUUUCGUCACUAUGCCCCGGGUUUCAUCUUACGAGAUCACAAGCUAAGAUUGCGGGAACACUUAUGUCGCGAAUGGCGAUUGUAACACUACCUCCACAUACUUCAAGUCUUCUGCAACAUGUUCCUGUCACAGAGGCUACCAUUUCACAGGAAUUAAUACCAGCAUUGAAUGUCUGGCUAACGGUUGGAGAUUGGUUCAAGGCAAUUGUGCGAUAAAUGAUUGUGGACGGCCUCCGAUUGGCAAUCUAUCAACAAUCCAUGCCCCACAGACAACAUUUAACGCCACGGCGGUAUAUGCGUGUCUUCCUGGAUACAGCACUACAAACAAUACUGAGCUCACGUUUACUGCUGACGGCAAGUGGAAUGGAACAGCGCCGAUAUGUUCAGAUAUCGACGACUGCCUCAACAGGCCAAAGCCAUGUGACUUCAACGCCAAGUGCACCAACUCUGACGGCAGCUUCAAGUGUGAAUGCCAGACCGGAUACAGAGACCUGGAUGUGGUCGGGGG